rnacentral:misc_RNA from 1 species
CACUACUUUGAUUGAUGGAUUGAGCCGAGCUGGGAAUUUAGAAGCCUGCAAGUACUUCUUUGAUGAAAUGAUAAAAAAUGGAUGCAUGCCCGAUGUUGUUUGUUACACUGUGAUGAUCACUCAUAGUGGGUGGUGCGCUUGAAAAGGCUCUGGCAUUGUUUGAUGAGAUGAUAGCAAUGGGCCAGUUACCAAACGUAUUUACCUAUAAUUCUGUGAUACGGGGGUUUUGUAUGGCAGGGGGGGUUGAGGAGGCCNAUGCUCAAGGAAAUGGAAUCUAGAGGAUGUAAUCCUAAUUUUCUUGUGUACAGUACCCUAGUGAGCAAUUUGCGAAAUGCUGGAAAGCUUUCUGAAGCUCGUAAAGUAAUAAGACAGAUGAUAGAGAAAGGGCAUAAUGUCCAUCUAGUCUCAAAGUUCAAGGGAUAUAGGAGAUGAUGAAGUAAUAGACCGUCUACAAUGGAGAAUUUUAAUCUGUAA